CCUACGGGAGGCAGCAGUGGGGAAUAUUGGACAAUGGGCGAAAGCCUGAUCCAGCCAUGCCGCGUGAGUGAUGAAGGCCCUAGGGUUGUAAAGCUCUUUCACCGGUGAAGAUAAUGACGGUAACCGGAGAAGAAGCCCCGGCUAACUUCGUGCCAGCAGCCGCGGUAAU
rnacentral:rRNA from 1 species